rnacentral:rRNA from 1 species
AUACGGAGGGUGCAAGCGUUAAUCGGAAUUACUGGGCGUAAAGCGCACGCAGGCGGUCUGUCAAGUCGGAUGUGAAAUCCCCGGGCUCAACCUGGGAACUGCAUUCGAAACUGGCAGGCUAGAGUCUUGUAGAGGGGGGUAGAAUUCCAGGUGUAGCGGUGAAAUGCGUAGAGAUCUGGAGGAAUACCGGUGGCGAAGGCGGCCCCCUGGACAAAGACUGACGCUCAGGUGCGAAAGCGUGGGGAGCAAACAGGAUUAGAUACCCUGGUAGUCCACGCCGUAAACGAUGUCGAUUUGGAGGUUGUGCCCUUGAGGCGUGGCUUCCGGAGCUAACGCAAUAAGUAUUCCACCUGGGGAGUACGUUCGCAAGAAUGAA